CAAUAGCGUAUAUUAAAGUUGUUGCAGUUAAAAAGCUCGUAGUUGGAUUUCUGGUCGGAAGCUCCUGUCCUCUGAUGAGCGUACAAGUGCGUCCUACCAUCCUUCUGUUAGCCUUUAAGGCUUUCGCGGCUUUCUAGGGGCUCAGAUAUUUUACCUUGAGAAAAUUAGAGUGUUUCAGGCAGGCUAGCGCCGGAAUACAUUAGCAUGGAAUAAUGGAAUAGGACUUUUGCCUCUUCUGUUGGUCAUGAGGCUCGAGUAAUGAUUAAUAGGGAUAGUUGGGGGCAUUAGUACUUAACUGUCAGAGGUGAAAUUCUCGGAUUUGUUAAAGACUAACUUAUGCGAAAGCAUUUGCCAAGGAUGUUUNCAUUAA
rnacentral:rRNA from 1 species